GACAAAUUUCGCGAGACCUUUAUUAAGGGCCUUCAGCAAAGUGAUGAUACCGCGAGAGCUGACAUGUGACGUAAUUAAAACGCGCGAACGGAAGUGGCGCAGAGCACGAUGGAAUCUCAGUACGGUUGGUCCUUUAGGAACCAGCGGGAAAGAUAAAAGCUACAGUUUCAGCCUUGCUGGGUGAAGUAUGUUUUGACCCCGCUCCCUUUUCUGUCAGAGACCUGCAGAUGGACGGGGUAGUAUUGGAUUGAGUUUUUGUGAUGAAGCUUACUAUGCAGUUUCACUCCUAAGCUAAACUGCACUAUUUCUUCAAAAGCCUAGGAAAAUGUAUUUUGUGUUUGGAGGGAAGCGAUUGCUACUGUUACUUUGAGCCAGUCCCUGAUGCUAUCAGAGAUUCUAAAGAAAAUAAUACACAGCGAGCCAGCGUAUGUAACCUGAAUAAUACAAUAUAGGCUCACGAACAGAAGUUAAUUUUAGGGGAUGUCAGUUCCACUGGGACAGGGAUUGAUCGUAAGCAUUGUGUUCACCACUGUUGUCUCAGGAUUUAGAACUGCACCCGAAAUGUAGACACUUAAUAAUCUUCUAAAACUUAAACCAAUAUGUCAGAUCAGUGUUCCUAGACGGCCUUUUUCAGAAGAAAUUCCAGAAACAAUUUGGCUUCAUUUACGGGAAUGAAUAAGGGUGUUUCAUUUCACACAGCCUCAGGGAAUCACAAAUUAAAACUUUCCACUAAAAUGGAUGCCACCUACUAUUCAUUAUUUCAGCAAACAAACCACUCUUCUCUGCUGAAGUUGCAAUCAGGGUUUGGGAAAUCAGUAGUGCUCAGAUAUUUGAAGAAAUAUUAAAAGUAUUAGAAGACAUUCAAGAAGUGGUUUUUGACAACUAUUCCUUAAUGGAAUCUCUACCUGAAGUACAGAAAUUUUUGCAUGGAUUAUUAAACCCAUGUUAGAAGUGUUAGCUUGAAUUGUUAAAGAAGUAAUCUGGUUGAUAGUGUUGUUACUCUGGGGUCUAGAUGUUGGCCAGGUGGAGAGUAGGAAAUGUAUUUUAGAUAGAAGGAAGAGCGAGUACAAAUAUACAAGCUACUACUCCUAAGAGAAUGAAGUUGGCCUAGUUGAAUUUGAUGAGGUUCACUAUUAUGUGACCAAGAAGGACAUAAUAAAUCAUGGCAUUUGAAGAACAUCCUGAGUUCAAAGGCUGUCUUCAUUCUGACUUGUGGAAAACAGAUUUUAACUACUAGUGAAUAAUCAAUUUUCUGUUACAAUUUUAUUAACAAUUGUCUGGUCACUGUAGCAAUUUGCUCUGUAAUAGAAUAAAUAUGUAACAAGGAGCUGCUGCCUGAAAACACAUUCUUUUAAUUUCAUCAUACACAAUUCUUCUCUUCCACUAAUGCUGAUCAGAGCUGCAUGCCAUGAGGACUUAGUAAUAAAACCACACUGGCCCCGCUGUUUCAGUGUUAUCUGUGAAGAGGGGCAGUGGCCCAGGUGGAUGCUCUGGUUAUCGGCUUACAUCCCCAUGCCUUUCACUUGGGCCCUAAGUCCAUUCACUUUCUACAACAUUUUCAUGAGAUUCAUCCUGGAGCUGUCGCGAUCUCAGAGCUAUCGUAUUAGCAUCACUGGUGGACAUGAACACAUAUUGACAAUAGCUUUAACUUCUCUUCUUCCUUAAAGAAACUUCUAAACCAAGGCACCACGGUGCAUCUAUGUGGAUAGAGACCAAAAUGCAAGUUUCCUUUGGUGUCGAUAGGAUAAAUGUGUACUUUGUCUCACUUUUCAAUUAGGGUGAUUGUGCGAUGACUCUAUACUUAGUACAUUUAUAUAUUAUUAUCCUGG
ensembl:lncRNA